rnacentral:snoRNA from 1 species
UGUCCCUGACCUGGGUAGAGUGGCACCUGAUUGGUGGUGCCUGUCUCAUAUCAACCAGGGACAAAGUAAUCCCCCGUUCAUCCCAGCUUGGCUUCUGGUCUGUGCCCUUGCCUGGUUCAUGCCUCGGACACAUAA